rnacentral:rRNA from 1 species
AACGAACGCUGGCGGCAGGCCUAACACAUGCAAGUCGAGCGAGACCUUCGGGUCUAGCGGCGGACGGGUGAGUAACGCGUGGGAACGUGCCCUUUGGUACGGAAUAGCCCCGGGAAACUGGGAGUAAUACCGUAUAAGCUCUUCGGAGGAAAGAUUUAUCGCCAAAGGAUCGGCCCGCGUUGGAUUAGGUAGUUGGUGGGGUAAAGGCCCACCAAGGCGACGAUCUGUAGCUGGUCUGAGAGGACGACCAGCCACACUGGGACUGAGACACGGCCCAGACUCCUACGGGAGGCAGCAGUGGGGAAUUUUGGACAAUGGGCGAAAGCCUGAUCCAGCAAUGCCGCGUGCAGGAUGAAGGCCCUCGGGUUGUAAACUGCUUUUGUACGGAACGAAAAGCUCUCUUCUAAUACAGGAGAGUCAUGACGGUACCGUAAGAAUAAGCACCGGCUAACUACGUG